rnacentral:lncRNA from 1 species
UUCUGAUCCUGGGCUUGCACUGAUAUCGUCUUGUACCGUUCUAGGUACAACUCAUAUCAAUGUUUUUCAUAUAAUAUGAAAUACAUAAAUCACCUUUCUGCGUAUGCAUAAAGGAUUCAAUUUACGCAUUAUUUCUUUGGGAGUCAAAGGGUACAUUCCCUUUGAGAAGGGCAACUUGCUAGUCUCACUAGAAUCGUCCUUCUUAUUGAAGUUUAUCAUCAUAUAAGAAACUUCCUAGCAUCCAUUGUCUAUUAUUAGGGAUUGAUAUAAUCCAAUUAUAUCAUG